AGGCAGAAGAGGACAUAGGCGCAUAUCUAAUGACAUAAGGGCCACUAUUGUAGACAAUGGUGUCAAUCAUGGCCUUACAAUGGCUGAGGCGGGUCGAAGGGUGCAGCCGAAUAUUGGGAGAUCAACCGUGUCCUCAAUAGUUCAAACGUUUCGAAGAGAGAACAGGACUGCAAGAUUACCUCAAACCGGUGGCAGAGGACGCCUUUUCACACCUCAACAGGAGGAGGCUAUUUACACCAUGGUCCGAGCAAACAAUGCCAUGAGACUCAGGGAAAUACAAAGGACCAUUAUAGAAGACAACGAUGUCUUUGAAAACAUCCAUACGGUUAGCAUCUCAACCAUCGACAGGGUGCUGCAUAGAAACCAGAUGAGUAUGAAACAGCUGUACCGUGUACCAUUCCAAAGGAAUGAGGACAGAGUUAAGGAGCUACGGUACCAGUAUGUACAGCAUGGAGGUGGAAGGUGUACGAUCAUCAGCCACACACACAGAUGACCCUGCUGGCUGCAAUGGAUGCAGCAUGUGAGGACAUCACAGUAGACGCCUGCAGAGGA
rnacentral:lncRNA from 1 species